rnacentral:rRNA from 1 species
UACGAAGGGAGCUAGCGUUGUUCGGAAUCACUGGGCGUAAAGCGCACGUAGGCGGAUGUGUCAGUCAGGGGUGAAAUCCCGGGGCUCAACCCCGGAACUGCCUUUAAAACUGUUGGUCUGGAGGUCGAGAGAGGUGAGUGGAAUUCCUAGUGUAGAGGUGAAAUUCGUAGAUAUUAGGAAGAACACCAGUGGCGAAGGCGGCUCACUGGCCCGGUACUGACGCUGAGGCGCGAAAGCGUGGGGAGCAAACAGG